rnacentral:rRNA from 1 species
ACUCCUACGGGAGGCAGCAGUGGGGAAUAUUGCACAAUGGGCGCAAGCCUGAUGCAGCCAUGCCGCGUGUGUGAAGAAGGCCUUCGGGUUGUAAAGCACUUUCAGUGGGGAGGAAAGGUUGAUGGUUAAUACCUAUCAGACUGUGACGUUACCCACAGAAUGAAGCCACCGGCUAACUCCGUGCCAGCAGCCGCGGUAAUACGGAGGGUGCAAGCGUUAAUCGGAAUUACUGGGCGUAAAGCGUGCGCAGGCGGUCUGUUAAGCGAGAUGUGAAAGCCCGGCUGC